GGGUUGUGAGGUUAAGCGACUAAGCGUACACGGUGGAUGCCCUGGCAGUCAGAGGCGAUGAAGGACGUGCUAAUCUGCGAUAAGCGUCGGUAAGGUGAUAUGAACCGUUAUAACCGGCGAUUUCCGAAUGGGGAAACCCAGUGUGAUUCGUCACACUAUCAUUAACUGAAUCCAUAGGUUAAUGAGGCGAACCGGGGGAACUGAAACAUCUAAGUACCCCGAGGAAAAGAAAUCAACCGAGAUUCCCCCAGUAGCGGCGAGCGAACGGGGAGCAGCCCAGAGCCUGAAUCAGUGUGUGUGUUAGUGGAAGCGUCUGGAAAGGCGCGCGAUACAGGGUGACAGCCCCGUACACAAAAAUGCACAUGCUGUGAGCUCGAUGAGUAGGGCGGGACACGUGGUAUCCUGUCUGAAUAUGGGGGGACCAUCCUCCAAGGCUAAAUACUCCUGACUGACCGAUAGUGAACCAGUACCGUGAGGGAAAGGCGAAAAGAACCCCGGCGAGGGGAGUGAAAAAGAACCUGAAACCGUGUACGUACAAGCAGUGGGAGCACGCUUAGGCGUGUGACUGCGUACCUUUUGUAUAAUGGGUCAGCGACUUAUAUUCUGUAGCAAGGUUAACCGAAUAGGGGAGCCGAAGGGAAACCGAGUCUUAACUGGGCGUUAAGUUGCAGGGUAUAGACCCGAAACCCGGUGAUCUAGCCAUGGGCAGGUUGAAGGUUGGGUAACACUAACUGGAGGACCGAACCGACUAAUGUUGAAAAAUUAGCGGAUGACUUGUGGCUGGGGGUGAAAGGCCAAUCAAACCGGGAGAUAGCUGGUUCUCCCCGAAAGCUAUUUAGGUAGCGCCUCGUGAAUUCAUCUCCGGGGGUAGAGCACUGUUUCGGCAAGGGGGUCAUCCCGACUUACCAACCCGAUGCAAACUGCGAAUACCGGAGAAUGUUAUCACGGGAGACACACGGCGGGUGCUAACGUCCGUCGUGAAGAGGGAAACAACCCAGACCGCCAGCUAAGGUCCCAAAGUCAUGGUUAAGUGGGAAACGAUGUGGGAAGGCCCAGACAGCCAGGAUGUUGGCUUAGAAGCAGCCAUCAUUUAAAGAAAGCGUAAUAGCUCACUGGUCGAGUCGGCCUGCGCGGAAGAUGUAACGGGGCUAAACCAUGCACCGAAGCUGCGGCAGCGACGCUUAUGCGUUGUUGGGUAGGGGAGCGUUCUGUAAGCCUGCGAAGGUGUGCUGUGAGGCAUGCUGGAGGUAUCAGAAGUGCGAAUGCUGACAUAAGUAACGAUAAAGCGGGUGAAAAGCCCGCUCGCCGGAAGACCAAGGGUUCCUGUCCAACGUUAAUCGGGGCAGGGUGAGUCGACCCCUAAGGCGAGGCCGAAAGGCGUAGUCGAUGGGAAACAGGUUAAUAUUCCUGUACUUGGUGUUACUGCGAAGGGGGGACGGAGAAGGCUAUGUUGGCCGGGCGACGGUUGUCCCGGUUUAAGCGUGUAGGCUGGUUUUCCAGGCAAAUCCGGAAAAUCAAGGCUGAGGCGUGAUGACGAGGCACUACGGUGCUGAAGCAACAAAUGCCCUGCUUCCAGGAAAAGCCUCUAAGCAUCAGGUAACAUCAAAUCGUACCCCAAACCGACACAGGUGGUCAGGUAGAGAAUACCAAGGCGCUUGAGAGAACUCGGGUGAAGGAACUAGGCAAAAUGGUGCCGUAACUUCGGGAGAAGGCACGCUGAUAUGUAGGUGAAGUCCCUCGCGGAUGGAGCUGAAAUCAGUCGAAGAUACCAGCUGGCUGCAACUGUUUAUUAAAAACACAGCACUGUGCAAACACGAAAGUGGACGUAUACGGUGUGACGCCUGCCCGGUGCCGGAAGGUUAAUUGAUGGGGUCAGCGCAAGCGAAGCUCUUGAUCGAAGCCCCGGUAAACGGCGGCCGUAACUAUAACGGUCCUAAGGUAGCGAAAUUCCUUGUCGGGUAAGUUCCGACCUGCACGAAUGGCGUAAUGAUGGCCAGGCUGUCUCCACCCGAGACUCAGUGAAAUUGAACUCGCUGUGAAGAUGCAGUGUACCCGCGGCAAGACGGAAAGACCCCGUGAACCUUUACUAUAGCUUGACACUGAACAUUGAGCCUUGAUGUGUAGGAUAGGUGGGAGGCUUUGAAGUGUGGACGCCAGUCUGCAUGGAGCCGACCUUGAAAUACCACCCUUUAAUGUUUGAUGUUCUAACGUGGACCCGUAAUCCGGGUUGCGGACAGUGUCUGGUGGGUAGUUUGACUGGGGCGGUCUCCUCCUAAAGAGUAACGGAGGAGCACGAAGGUUGGCUAAUCCUGGUCGGACAUCAGGAGGUUAGUGCAAUGGCAUAAGCCAGCUUGACUGCGAGCGUGACGGCGCGAGCAGGUGCGAAAGCAGGUCAUAGUGAUCCGGUGGUUCUGAAUGGAAGGGCCAUCGCUCAACGGAUAAAAGGUACUCCGGGGAUAACAGGCUGAUACCGCCCAAGAGUUCAUAUCGACGGCGGUGUUUGGCACCUCGAUGUCGGCUCAUCACAUCCUGGGGCUGAAGUAGGUCCCAAGGGUAUGGCUGUUCGCCAUUUAAAGUGGUACGCGAGCUGGGUUUAGAACGUCGUGAGACAGUUCGGUCCCUAUCUGCCGUGGGCGCUGGAGAACUGAGGGGGGCUGCUCCUAGUACGAGAGGACCGGAGUGGACGCAUCACUGGUGUUCGGGUUGUCAUGCCAAUGGCACUGCCCGGUAGCUAAAUGCGGAAGAGAUAAGUGCUGAAAGCAUCUAAGCACGAAACUUGCCCCGAGAUGAGUUCUCCCUGAGACUUUAAGUCUCCUGAAGGAACGUUGAAGACGACGACGUUGAUAGGCCGGGUGUGUAAGCGCAGCGAUGCGUUGAGCUAACCGGUACUAAUGAACCGUGAGGCUUAACCUUACAACGCCGAAGGUGUUU
rnacentral:rRNA from 1 species